rnacentral:rRNA from 1 species
AGCGAACGCUGGCGGCAGGCUUAACACAUGCAAGUCGAGCGGGCGUAGCAAUACGUCAGCGGCAGACGGGUGAGUAACGCGUGGGAACGUACCUUUUGGUUCGGAACAACACAGGGAAACUUGUGCUAAUACCGGAUAAGCCCUUACGGGGAAAGAUUUAUCGCCGAAAGAUCGGCCCGCGUCUGAUUAGCUAGUUGGUGAGGUAAUGGCUCACCAAGGCGACGAUCAGUAGCUGGUCUGAGAGGAUGAUCAGCCACACUGGGACUGAGACACGGCCCAGACUCCUACGGGAGGCAGCAGUGGGGAAUAUUGGACAAUGGGCGCAAGCCUGAUCCAGCCAUGCCGCGUGAGUGAUGAAGGCCCUAGGGUUGUAAAGCUCUUUUGUGCGGGAAGAUAAUG